UCUCUCUCCGUCUCCAAAAGAAAGGAGAAAGAGAGGGGUCAAUCGUAUUACACGGGACGGCGGAAGGCGAGGUGGGAAUCGGUGGCGCGAGGCAUCGAGUCGCGGAUCAAUCCGAGGCAUGUGCGUUUCCUCUAUAUAUAUUCUUGUCGAUCUGAGAGUGGCUCAUGGGUCGGAGAUUCCAUGCCAUCGUAGCAACCGGUUCAGACGAAGGAGAUGUUGUCGAAGAAAUCAGUGAAGAUUAAGGAUAGACUUGGAUGUUUUCAGGGAACUCUCAAAGAAGGCUCAAGAGGCAAAUACACUAGGUGAUCAGAACCGAUCCACCACUUAUAUUUUGAUCCAAGCUGUGUUCGUGGUGGCAACCAUGGCCCUUGCGGUUCCUUCAUGUCCUAUCAGAUACAUGCUAUCCUCCAAAUCUUCCAAGUAUCCAUGACCACAUGGACCGAUGAGAGCUUCAUUCUGUUGUCAUGCAUUGCCAGUCUACCAGGUGGAUUUUACAUAACUAUAGUAAGAAGGGGAUGAACACAUCAACCAAGAAGAAGAAAUUUGAGAUGAACACAUCAACCAAGAACUAGAUCAAGUGGUGGAUCUAGUAAAAAGGGGAAGGUCCAUUGCAUGAGGCUCACUUGAAUCUGGGGAGGGUCAGUAUCAUCGUAUUAAGUUUUACAGGCAAAAAGUGGUUUCCACAGUUUGUACUUUGUUCAGUCAUGUUACUGUACUAUAAGUAGUUUUGAUUACCAGAACAAUCUAGGAGUUGCUAUCAUCUAUUGUCUUUUCCUCCUUUCAUCUAUUCCUUUCUUCAA